AUUGAACGCUGGCGGCAGGCCUAACACAUGCAAGUCGAGCGGAAACGAUCCUAGCUUGCUAGGAGGCGUCGAGCGGCGGACGGGUGAGUAACGCGUGAGAAUCUACCCAUGAGUGGGGGACAACCCGGGGAAGCUCGGGCUAAUACCGCAUACGCCCUACGGGGUAAAGCAGGGGACCUUCGGGCCUUGCGCUGAUGGAUGAGCUCGCGUCGGAUUAGCUUGUUGGUGAGGUAAAGGCUCACCGAGGCGACGAUCCGUAGCUGGUCUGAGAGGAUGAUCAGCCACACCGGGACUGAGACACGGCCCGGACUCCUACGGGAGGCAGCAGUGGGGAAUCUUGGACAAUGGGGGCAACCCUGAUCCAGCCAUGCCGCGUGUGUGAAGAAGGCCUUCGGGUUGUAAAGCACUUUCAGCAGGGAGGAAGGCUUACCCCUAAUACGGGUGAGUACUUGACGUUACCUGCAGAAGAAGCACCGGCUAAUUUCGUG
rnacentral:rRNA from 1 species